CCUACGGGUGGCAGCAGUCGAGAAUCAUUCACAAUGGGGGAAACCCUGAUGGUGCGACGCCGCGUGAAGGAAGACGGUUUUCGGAUUGUAAACUUCUGUUCUUAGUGAAGAAUAAUGACGGUAGCUAAGGAGCAAGCCACGGCUAACUACGUGCCAGCAGCCGCGGUAAUACGUAGGUGGCAAGCUGUGUCCGGAAUUACUGGGUGUAAAGGGAGCGCAGGCGGGAAGCCAAGUCAGCUGUGAAAACUACGGGCUUAACUUGUAGACUGCAGUUGAAACUGGUUUUCUUGAGUGAAGUAGAGGUUGGCGGAAUGCGGGGUGUAGCGGUGAAAUGCGUAGAUAUUCGGAGGAACACCGGUGGCGAAGGCAGCCAACUGGGCUUUAACUGACGCUGAGGCUCGAAAGUGUGGGGAGCGAACAGGAUUAGAUACCCCUGUAGUC
rnacentral:rRNA from 1 species